rnacentral:tRNA from 1 species
UCCCCAAUGGUCAGUGGUUAGGAUUCAGUGCUUUCAUUGCCAUGGCCCAGGUUCAAUCCCUGGUUGGGGAA